rnacentral:misc_RNA from 1 species
UACGGAGGGUGCAAGCGUUAAUCGGAAUUACUGGGCGUAAAGCGCGCGUAGGCGGCUCAAUAAGUCGGAUGUGAAAGCCCCGGGCUCAACCUGGGAAUUGCGUUCGAUACUGUCGGGCUAGAGUAUGGAAGAGGGAAGUGGAAUUCCGGGUGUAGCGGUGAAAUGCGUAGAUAUCCGGAGGAACACCAGUGGCGAAGGCGACUUCCUGGGCCAAUACUGACGCUGAGGUGCGAAAGCGUGGGGAGCAAACAGG